UACGGGGGGGGCAAGCGUUGUUCGGAAUUACUGGGCGUAAAGGGCGCGUAGGUGGCCCGCUAAGUCGAACGUGAAAUCCCCGAGCUCAACUCGGGAACUGCGUCCGAUACUGGCGGGCUUGAAUCCGGGAGAGGGAUGCGGAAUUCCAGGUGUAGCGGUGAAAUGCGUAGAUAUCUGGAGGAACACCGGUGGCGAAGGCGGCAUCCUGGACCGGCAUUGACGCUGAGGCGCGAAAGCUAGGGGAGCAAACGGGG
rnacentral:rRNA from 1 species